UACGGAGGGUGCAAGCGUUAUCCGGAUUCACUGGGUUUAAAGGGUGCGUAGGUGGGUUGGUAAGUCAGUGGUGAAAUCUCCAGGCUUAACUUGGAAACUGCCAUUGAUACUAUCAAUCUUGAAUACCGUGGAGGUCAGCGGAAUAUGUCAUGUAGCGGUGAAAUGCUUAGAUAUGACAUAGAACACCAAAUUGCGAAGGCAGCUGGCUACACGAAUAUUGACACUGAUGCACGAAAGCGUGGGGAUCAAACAGGG
rnacentral:rRNA from 1 species